rnacentral:rRNA from 1 species
GGUUAAGCGACUAAGCGUACACGGUGGAUGCCCUGGCAGUCAGAGGCGAUGAAGGACGUGCUAAUCUGCGAUAAGCGUCGGUAAGGUGAUAUGAACCGUUAUAACCGGCGAUUUCCGAAUGGGGAAACCCAGUGUGAUUCGUCACACUAUCAUUAACUGAAUCCAUAGGUUAAUGAGGCGAACCGGGGGAACUGAAACAUCUAAGUACCCCGAGGAAAAGAAAUCAACCGAGAUUCCCCCAGUAGCGGCGAGCGAACGGGGAGCAGCCCAGAGCCUGAAUCAGUGUGUGUGUUAGUGGAAGCGUCUGGAAAGGCGCGCGAUACAGGGUGACAGCCCCGUACACAAAAAUGCACAUGCUGUGAGCUCGAUGAGUAGGGCGGGACACGUGGUAUCCUGUCUGAAUAUGGGGGGACCAUCCUCCAAGGCUAAAUACUCCUGACUGACCGAUAGUGAACCAGUACCGUGAGGGAAAGGCGAAAAGAACCCCGGCGAGGGGAGUGAAAAAGAACCUGAAACCGUGUACGUACAAGCAGUGGGAGCACAGAGCAAUCUGUGUGACUGCGUACCUUUUGUAUAAUGGGUCAGCGACUUAUAUUCUGUAGCAAGGUUAACCGAAUAGGGGAGCCGAAGGGAAACCGAGUCUUAACUGGGCGUUAAGUUGCAGGGUAUAGACCCGAAACCCGGUGAUCUAGCCAUGGGCAGGUUGAAGGUUGGGUAACACUAACUGGAGGACCGAACCGACUAAUGUUGAAAAAUUAGCGGAUGACUUGUGGCUGGGGGUGAAAGGCCAAUCAAACCGGGAGAUAGCUGGUUCUCCCCGAAAGCUAUUUAGGUAGCGCCUCGUGAAUUCAUCUCCGGGGGUAGAGCACUGUUUCGGCAAGGGGGUCAUCCCGACUUACCAACCCGAUGCAAACUGCGAAUACCGGAGAAUGUUAUCACGGGAGACACACGGCGGGUGCUAACGUCCGUCGUGAAGAGGGAAACAACCCAGACCGCCAGCUAAGGUCCCAAAGUCAUGGUUAAGUGGGAAACGAUGUGGGAAGGCCCAGACAGCCAGGAUGUUGGCUUAGAAGCAGCCAUCAUUUAAAGAAAGCGUAAUAGCUCACUGGUCGAGUCGGCCUGCGCGGAAGAUGUAACGGGGCUAAACCAUGCACCGAAGCUGCGGCAGCGACGCUGAUGCGUUGUUGGGUAGGGGAGCGUUCUGUAAGCCUGUGAAGGUGUGCUGUGAGGCAUGCUGGAGGUAUCAGAAGUGCGAAUGCUGACAUAAGUAACGAUAAAGCGGGUGAAAAGCCCGCUCGCCGGAAGACCAAGGGUUCCUGUCCAACGUUAAUCGGGGCAGGGUGAGUCGACCCCUAAGGCGAGGCCGAAAGGCGUAGUCGAUGGGAAACAGGUUAAUAUUCCUGUACUUGGUGUUACUGCGAAGGGGGGACGGAGAAGGCUAUGUUGGCCGGGCGACGGUUGUCCCGGUUUAAGCGUGUAGGCUGGUUUUCCAGGCAAAUCCGGAAAAUCAAGGCUGAGGCGUGAUGACGAGGCACUACGGUGCUGAAGCAACAAAUGCCCUGCUUCCAGGAAAAGCCUCUAAGCAUCAGGUAACAUCAAAUCGUACCCCAAACCGACACAGGUGGUCAGGUAGAGAAUACCAAGGCGCUUGAGAGAACUCGGGUGAAGGAACUAGGCAAAAUGGUGCCGUAACUUCGGGAGAAGGCACGCUGAUAUGUAGGUGAAGUCCCUCGCGGAUGGAGCUGAAAUCAGUCGAAGAUACCAGCUGGCUGCAACUGUUUAUUAAAAACACAGCACUGUGCAAACACGAAAGUGGACGUAUACGGUGUGACGCCUGCCCGGUGCCGGAAGGUUAAUUGAUGGGGUUAGCGGUAACGCGAAGCUCUUGAUCGAAGCCCCGGUAAACGGCGGCCGUAACUAUAACGGUCCUAAGGUAGCGAAAUUCCUUGUCGGGUAAGUUCCGACCUGCACGAAUGGCGUAAUGAUGGCCAGGCUGUCUCCACCCGAGACUCAGUGAAAUUGAACUCGCUGUGAAGAUGCAGUGUACCCGCGGCAAGACGGAAAGACCCCGUGAACCUUUACUAUAGCUUGACACUGAACAUUGAGCCUUGAUGUGUAGGAUAGGUGGGAGGCUUUGAAGUGUGGACGCCAGUCUGCAUGGAGCCGGCCUUGAAAUACCACCCUUUAAUGUUUGAUGUUCUAACGUUGGCCCCUGAUCGGGGUUGCGGACAGUGUCUGGUGGGUAGUUUGACUGGGGCGGUCUCCUCCUAAAGAGUAACGGAGGAGCACGAAGGUUGGCUAAUCCUGGUCGGACAUCAGGAGGUUAGUGCAAUGGCAUAAGCCAGCUUGACUGCGAGCGUGACGGCGCGAGCAGGUGCGAAAGCAGGUCAUAGUGAUCCGGUGGUUCUGAAUGGAAGGGCCAUCGCUCAACGGAUAAAAGGUACUCCGGGGAUAACAGGCUGAUACCGCCCAAGAGUUCAUAUCGACGGCGGUGUUUGGCACCUCGAUGUCGGCUCAUCACAUCCUGGGGCUGAAGUAGGUCCCAAGGGUAUGGCUGUUCGCCAUUUAAAGUGGUACGCGAGCUGGGUUUAGAACGUCGUGAGACAGUUCGGUCCCUAUCUGCCGUGGGCGCUGGAGAACUGAGGGGGGCUGCUCCUAGUACGAGAGGACCGGAGUGGACGCAUCACUGGUGUUCGGGUUGUCAUGCCAAUGGCACUGCCCGGUAGCUAAAUGCGGAAGAGAUAAGUGCUGAAAGCAUCUAAGCACGAAACUUGCCCCGAGAUGAGUUCUCCCUGACCCUUUAAGGGUCCUGAAGGAACGUUGAAGACGACGACGUUGAUAGGCCGGGUGUGUAAGCGCAGCGAUGCGUUGAGCUAACCGGUACUAAUGAACCGUGAGGCUUAACCUU